GUAAACUGAAACUUUGGGCAAGGUCACUAGCCCUGAGAAAAGAGUUUGUUGUGGGUUAUAGAGUUCUUGAACAAUGAAACUGGCUUACCCAGAAUUUACAAGUGUGUGGACAAUGUAGAAGUGACUUUUCAUGAUUGACCUUUACAGCAGGAUGAGUCUAAGCUCAAGGAGAAGAAGGAAAACAAGUGAAGAAUGUUAAAAAUCUCUUAUGUGUGUCAAAUUUCUAUAUUAGAACAAGUGAUCAGUAGAAGAUAUGAGCACAAUGCAAGUUUUAGCAGGAACAUCUAAGGAGUCUCUACAAGUAACUUGGAACAGAGAAGCAAAUCUACUGAAGAGGUUCCCCUGAAAAUAAGACAUUUUUGCAGAGUGCCCCAGAGACCAGACAACUACAUGGGACAUCUGAGGUCCAAGAUGAAAUGUGUUGAUUAAAUAGGUAUUGGGAGUGGGUUGAUGGUCAUUAUUGUACUACCAAGUACUCUCAGUUAUCUUGGUGUCAUGUAAAAUUCCCCUCUAAAAUUAGUCCACAGCUCUGGGCAAUCUUACUAUGGCUUGUACUGUGAGUGGUCAAUCUUGUUGUCUUUACAUUAACUUGUCAGGAAAAAUUGUGACAAGUCUCCCGUUAAAAAAAAAGGAGAAAUUGAGAAAAUCAAAUGAUUCUGAUUCCAUUUUGUAACUGAUUCUAUUCUAGAUCACACCCCAAUAUGCUGUCAAAUUGCUCAAGCCAUAUUUCUUUGUCUCUACACAUAGUCUGGAAAUUCAGCUCUUCUGUACUAAGUUGAGAAAUUCAGUUCUCCCACUAAUUACCAAAUGCCAUUGAUUCUUCCUUUACUUCCCUAGGGUUGGAAUGGAAGAAAAUUUUAACAAUUGUGGUCAUUUUCUCACUGGUCAUGUUGUUCCCCUACCUGUGCUUGGAUAGGCUCCACCACUUCCUCCAUGUUAAAGAAACCACUUGUGCACCUCUUAGAGAACUUUGCGGAAGAUACUAUCAGAAAGAUUGUAUGAGAUGAUCACCAGGCAUGGAGCACACACAGUAGGCCAGAGCCUAAGAAUGUGACCUCGAGUCUCACAAUUAAUGUAAACUACCUUGAAUAAAUGUAAACAGCAAAAGAAAUUCUACCUAUCCCAUGGGAAAACUUGCACAUGAUUCUGGGCCAUUCCUUCUUUGUUCUGGCCCAAGAUUGGUGUGGGAAUGCUCAAUGUUAUCUGCCCAGGCCUCCUGUGAAUAAACUCUCUUAACCAACCGAAUUAGCCUAAUUAACCCUAAUAAAAC